UACGGAGGAUGGCGAGCGUUAUCCGGAUUUAUUGGGUUUAAAGGGUGCGUAGGCGGGUUGUUAAGUCAGUUGUGAAAGUUUGCGGCUCAACCGUAAAUUGCAGUUGAUACUGGACAUCCUUGAGUACAGUAGAGGUAGGCGGAAUUCGUGGUGUAGCGGUGAAAUGCUUAGAUAUCACGAAGAACUCCGAUUGCGAAGGCAGCCUGCUGGACUGUAACUGACGCUGAUGCUCGAAGUGUGGGUGAUCAAACAGG
rnacentral:rRNA from 1 species